GGUAAAUAACAAAAGCAAGAUUGAAAGCAAACAUCUGCCCAAAGUCACUGCAAAGAAAGAAUUCAGGGUUUCUCCAGCCUAGCACUGUUCACCAAAAGAGACAGUGGUAAUGAGAAGUCCUCUAGGUGGGCAGAACUUGAAGUAAUACACUUAAUCCUCUAAUUUGGAUGGAAAUAAGCAUGCAAAUGUGGGCAAUGACAAAUGGCUUGCAAGGUAACACGAAGGCCUAGAAAGGAGAUUAGAAGGUUGAGGACAAGGAGAUCUACUUCAAUGACGUCAUCAGAAACAGCCCAGAUCCAGGAAGCUAUGAGAAUGCCCUCUGAUGUCUACAGAUGUCAAGAACCUGAACCAGCCCACCAACAACAAUGAAAAGUCAGCAGUUUGCAACCUGGAAGAGGGUCCUCACCAGAACCUGACCAGGCUGGCACACUCAUCUCAGACUUCCAGCCUCCAGAGGAGUACUUGAGUGAGAGCAUAGUUCGGGUACAGUUUGGUUGCCACUACUUAAACAGAUGAGAUGUAAAAUUCCAUUUUAUACUUGGACAAGAAGACAGAACAAAGGAACCCCUGCCUUGACAGACUUCUCAGAUGAGGCAUUGACAUCUUGAGCCUCUGCUAUGAGGAAACUGCCAUUGUAACCUUCAUCUGUUUGGUCUAAAAACACUGUGGCACAGAGCAGACAAAGAUUGACAGGAUCAACAAACCCAAUUCUUCAAAGAAGGAAACCAAUUCUUCAGUACCAUCUAAGAACUUCUCCAAUUUCCCAGAAGGAGGUAGGGGAAGGGAAUUAAGUAAGUCCCCUAUCACAAUGACUAGGGAUAGGAAAAGAUGGUGGGAAGAAAGAACC